CUUCAUGGCAGCUGUGCGCGGGAGACCUUCGGGUCUGCCGGUUUCUCGUUUCCGGCUCGCCAACCUGCGUACAGCUGCCACCCAU
rnacentral:antisense_RNA from 3 species